UUAAGCGACUAAGCGUACACGGUGGAUGCCCUGGCAGUCAGAGGCGAUGAAGGACGUGCUAAUCUGCGAUAAGCGUCGGUAAGGUGAUAUGAACCGUUAUAACCGGCGAUUUCCGAAUGGGGAAACCCAGUGUGAUUCGUCACACUAUCAUUAACUGAAUCCAUAGGUUAAUGAGGCGAACCGGGGAACUGAAACAUCUAAGUACCCCGAGGAAAGAAAUCAACCGAGAUUCCCCAGUAGCGGCGAGCGAACGGGGAGGAGCCCAGAGCCUGAAUCAGUGUGUGUGUUAGUGGAAGCGUCUGGAAAGGCGCGCGAUACAGGGUGACAGCCCGUACACAAAAUGCACAUGCUGUGAGCUCGAUGAGUAGGGCGGGACACGUGGUAUCCUGUCUGAAUAUGGGGGACCAUCCUCCAAGGCUAAAUACUCCUGACUGACCGAUAGUGAACCAGUACCGUGAGGGAAAGGCGAAAAGAACCCCGGCGAGGGAGUGAAAAGAACCUGAAACCGUGUACGUACAAGCAGUGGGAGCACGCUUAGGCGUGUGACUGCGUACCUUUUGUAUAAUGGGUCAGCGACUUAUAUUCUGUAGCAAGGUUAACCGAAUAGGGGAGCCGAAGGGAAACCGAGUCUUAACUGGGCGUUAAGUUGCAGGGUAUAGACCCGAAACCCGGUGAUCUAGCCAUGGGCAGGUUGAAGGUUGGGUAACACUAACUGGAGGACCGAACCGACUAAUGUUGAAAAAUUAGCGGAUGACUUGUGGCUGGGGGUGAAAGGCCAAUCAAACCGGGAGAUAGCUGGUUCUCCCCGAAAGCUAUUUAGGUAGCGCCUCGUGAAUUCAUCUCCGGGGGUAGAGCACUGUUUCGGCAAGGGGGUCAUCCCGACUUACCAACCCGAUGCAAACUGCGAAUACCGGAGAAUGUUAUCACGGGAGACACACGGCGGGUGCUAACGUCCGUCGUGAAGAGAAACAACCCAGACCGCCAGCUAAGGUCCCAAAGUCAUGGUUAAGUGGGAAACGAUGUGGGAAGGCCCAGACAGCCAGGAUGUUGGCUUAGAAGCAGCCAUCAUUUAAAGAAAGCGUAAUAGCUCACUGGUCGAGUCGGCCUGCGCGGAAGAUGUAACGGGGCUAAACCAUGCACCGAAGCUGCGGCAGCGACGCUGAUGCGUUGUUGGGUAGGGGAGCGUUCUGUAAGCCUGCGAAGGUGUGCUGUGAGGCAUGCUGGAGGUAUCAGAAGUGCGAAUGCUGACAUAAGUAACGAUAAAGCGGGUGAAAAGCCCGCUCGCCGGAAGACCAAGGGUUCCUGUCCAACGUUAAUCGGGGCAGGGUGAGUCGACCCCCUAAGGCGAGGCCGAAAGGCGUAGUCGAUGGGAAACAGGUUAAUAUUCCUGUACUUGGUGUUACUGCGAAGGGGGGACGGAGAAGGCUAUGUUGGCCGGGCGACGGUUGUCCCGGUUUAAGCGUGUAGGCUGGUUUUCCAGGCAAAUCCGGAAAAUCAAGGCUGAGGCGUGAUGACGAGGCACUACGGUGCUGAAGCAACAAAUGCCCUGCUUCCAGGAAAAGCCUCUAAGCAUCAGGUAACAUCAAAUCGUACCCCAAACCGACACAGGUGGUCAGGUAGAGAAUACCAAGGCGCUUGAGAGAACUCGGGUGAAGGAACUAGGCAAAAUGGUGCCGUAACUUCGGGAGAAGGCACGCUGAUAUGUAGGUGAAGCGACUUGCUCGUGGAGCUGAAAUCAGUCGAAGAUACCAGCUGGCUGCAACUGUUUAUUAAAAACACAGCACUGUGCAAACACGAAAGUGGACGUAUACGGUGUGACGCCUGCCCGGUGCCGGAAGGUUAAUUGAUGGGGUUAGCGCAAGCGAAGCUCUUGAUCGAAGCCCCGGUAAACGGCGGCCGUAACUAUAACGGUCCUAAGGUAGCGAAAUUCCUUGUCGGGUAAGUUCCGACCUGCACGAAUGGCGUAAUGAUGGCCAGGCUGUCUCCACCCGAGACUCAGUGAAAUUGAACUCGCUGUGAAGAUGCAGUGUACCCGCGGCAAGACGGAAAGACCCCGUGAACCUUUACUAUAGCUUGACACUGAACAUUGAGCCUUGAUGUGUAGGAUAGGUGGGAGGCUUUGAAGUGUGGACGCCAGUCUGCAUGGAGCCGACCUUGAAAUACCACCCUUUAAUGUUUGAUGUUCUAACGUGGACCCGUAAUCCGGGUUGCGGACAGUGUCUGGUGGGUAGUUUGACUGGGGCGGUCUCCUCCUAAAGAGUAACGGAGGAGCACGAAGGUUGGCUAAUCUGGUCGGACAUCAGGAGGUUAGUGCAAUGGCAUAAGCCAGCUUGACUGCGAGCGUGACGGCGCGAGCAGGUGCGAAAGCAGGUCAUAGUGAUCCGGUGGUUCUGAAUGGAAGGGCCAUCGCUCAACGGAUAAAAGGUACUCCGGGGAUAACAGGCUGAUACCGCCCAAGAGUUCAUAUCGACGGCGGUGUUUGGCACCUCGAUGUCGGCUCAUCACAUCCUGGGGCUGAAGUAGGUCCCAAGGGUAUGGCUGUUCGCCAUUUAAAGUGGUACGCGAGCUGGGUUUAGAACGUCGUGAGACAGUUCGGUCCCUAUCUGCCGUGGGCGCUGGAGAACUGAGGGGGGCUGCUCCUAGUACGAGAGGACCGGAGUGGACGCAUCACUGGUGUUCGGGUUGUCAUGCCAAUGGCACUGCCCGGUAGCUAAAUGCGGAAGAGAUAAGUGCUGAAAGCAUCUAAGCACGAAACUUGCCCCGAGAUGAGUUCUCCCUGACUCCUUGAGAGUCCUGAAGGAACGUUGAAGACGACGACGUUGAUAGGCCGGGUGUGUAAGCGCAGCGAUGCGUUGAGCUAACCGGUACUAAUGAACCGUGAGGCUUAACCU
rnacentral:rRNA from 1 species